rnacentral:tRNA from 1 species
AAAAUUAUGGUGUAUUACAUAUAAAAUUUUCAAUUUUAAGUAAUUGUUAAA